GAUAUUCGAGAACACUGAGUUGGGGUGCAAAGACUGACGGCUUGAGUUUCAGACAGGGUAUCGUUUGGUAUCUGGAAAAAAUAGCAGGCACGAUUGGGACUAUAGUGGGAAGAAUGAGGACGGGCUCACAAGGUAGGUAGUAGUAACAAGAGGACUGUGGUAGGUACUAACUGACAAAACGAAAUGUGGCCAGGGUGUGUUUGUGCCCUUAGGAAAAUAAAGGCCAUGAUGAUAAAAUAUGAACUAUGCUAGUAAAGAUUUGAACCGCCAUAUAUUUUACGAAAAGUUUUGAGACUCAGGUAAGGCAAACACUACUAUGUUUUGAUAAAAACAUGUACGAACAGCGUUUCCUAUUACGGUUUAACCUUUUGAAUGCACCGAUAUGAGACACAAUAGAAAAAAUACAUUGUGUCUCGGGUGGAUCCACGUCUUAGACACACGAGAGGUUAAAUAUUUACAUACCUCUAAUGGUUUUGGGGUAGGAGUCACAAUUGGAAAAUUUCUAAUAACGCAUAGCUUUGGGUAAAGUAAUGGUUCUCCACGCCAGAACUGAAUCGAGUAAUAGGAACUUUCUUCUUCAGGCAAACGAUAGCCAUGCUGUGAAAACCAGUUGAAAAACGUUCAUUCGAAAUUGAAACUGAAGACAGAAUAAUGUAAGUAUGUAGGUACUUAGAUACCUACUGUUUGCUUACCUACCUACUUAAAAUUCUCAUUAACUUUAAAUAUCGUGCUGUCGUACCACUCGUACCUGCUGCUGGGCUGAGUCGGUUAAAAAAAGUAGUAACUACGAUAAUGUAACUAAGUAAGUAGGUAGGUUAAGUCAAAUAGGUAAGUUAUGUUGCUAUGGAUUUUCAUAUGAGUCUUGGUAAAUUAUUAGGUAUGUAAAAAAAUACAAAGUAAGUCUAACUCACAAUAUUUUUCCAGUGUCGACGUAUAUCCUUGUAAGAUUUGAAUUUUGAAACUGGAACUUGAGAAAAAUCUUUACAGCUGUCUUCCACCAUGGCCUUAUUUAAACUAGAAUCAAAAAUAACUUGCUUUAAAAUAAGUGAGCUCCAUGUUUUUGGAGUAACUUCCUUUAUUCCACCAUCCUAGAAGGAAAUCAGUGUUUGGAAUUGACAUUAGAUUUAAGGAACCUUAAUAUGGGCUAUACAGAUGUUGUUGAACAAGCCCUAAUUGAAACCAACGAAAUUAUGUAAGUAAUAGUAAUCACUAAAAUAUAAGUGAUAAUUAUUAUUAUAUAUUUGCGUACAUUAGUAGUCAAUUUUGAUACUUACUUGCAUU